rnacentral:rRNA from 1 species
CGGGGUGCUCCAGCAGUAAGGAAUAUUGCGCAAUGGAGGCAACUCUGACGCAGCCAUGCCGCGUGCAGGAAGAAGGCCUUAUGGGUCGUAAACUGCUUUUAUUUAGGAAUAAACCCCCGAACGUGUUCGGGGCUGAAGGUACUAAACGAAUAAGCACCGGCUACUCCGUGCCAGCAGCCGCGGUAAUACGGAGGGUGCAAGCGUUAUCCGGAUUUAUUGGGUUUAAAGGGUGCGCAGGCGGGCUAUUAAGUCAGUGGUGAAAUCCCGGGGCUCAACUCCGGAACUGCCAUUGAUACUGAUAGUCUUGAGUUUGGUUGAAGUGGGCGGAAUGUAGCAUGUAGCGGUGAAAUGCAUAGAUAUGCUACAGAACACCAAUCGCGAAGGCAGCUCACUAAGCCAAAACUGACGCUCAUGCACGAAAGCGUGGGGAUCAAACAGGAUUAGAUACCCGGGUAGUC